GACGAACGCUGGCGGCGCGCCUAACACAUGCAAGUCGAACGAGAGAGAGGAAGCUUGCUUCCUUAAUCGAGUGGCGAACGGGUGAGUAACGCGUAUCGAACCUGCCUCAUACUCGGGGAUAGCCUUGCGAAAGUAAGAUUAAUACCCGGCGGUCUCGGACGGCCGCAUGACAGUCCGAGUGAAGAUUUAUCGGUAUGAGAUGGCGAUGCGUCCCAUUAGCUUGUUGGUGGGGUAAUGGCUCACCAAGGCAUCGAUGGGUAGGGGUUCUGAGAGGAAGGUCCCCCACAUUGGAACUGAGACACGGUCCAA
rnacentral:rRNA from 1 species